rnacentral:rRNA from 1 species
GACAGAGGGGGCAAGCGUUGUCCGGAGUUACUGGGCGUAAAGGGCGCGGAGGCGGCCUGCGGCGUCGGCGCUGAAAGCGCCCCGCUUAACGGGGCGAGGCGUGCCGAUACGCGCAGGCUCGAGGCGAGCAGAGGGUGGUGGAAUUCCGGGUGGAGCGGUGAAAUGCGUAGAGAUCCGGAGGAACGCCAGUGGGGAAGCCGGCCACCUGGGCUCGAUCUGACGAUGCGGCGCGACAGCGUGGGGAGCAAACCGG